UACGUAGGGUGCGAGCGUUGUCCGGAAUUAUUGGGCGUAAAGGGCUCGUAGGCGGUUUGUCGCGUCGGGAGUGAAAACCCAGGGCUUAACUCUGGGCUUGCUUUCGAUACGGGCAGACUAGAGGUAUGCAGGGGAGAACGGAAUUCCUGGUGUAGCGGUGAAAUGCGCAGAUAUCAGGAGGAACACCGGUGGCGAAGGCGGGUCUCUGGGCCGAGUGACUGACGCUGAGGAGCGAAAGCGUGGGGAGCGAACAGG
rnacentral:rRNA from 1 species